GCAGACUGGUCUCAGCAUUCACCUCGAGUAUCUCAUCCUCACUGGCUUCCUGGGGCAACUGCUGGGCACCAUGGGGCAGAUCACUGUCACUCAGCAAGAAGGACAAGUCACAGUGAAGCAGAGAGACACCUUCCAAACAAUCUGCACUUAUCAGGUUUCUGGCUUUCAAGGCUUGUUCUGGUACCAGCAGAAGACAGACCAAGCCCCACAGCUGGUCUCAUCCCAGGCAGCAGCUGGCCCCAAGCAGAGCGGCCGGUUCACCACCUUGCUGAACAACCCCGGGCCUCCUGCAGCUGGAGGAAGUCGAGGUCUCUGACAGUGCCUUGUACCUCUGUGCUGUGCAAGACACCCUG